UACGGGGGGAGCAAGCGUUGUUCGGAUUUACUGGGCGUAAAGGGCGCGUAGGCGGCCUCCGCAAGUCAAUUGUGAAAUCUCCGGGCUUAACUCGGAAAGGUCAACUGAUACUGCGGGGCUAGAGUGCGGAAGGGGCAACUGGAAUUCUUGGUGUAGCGGUGAAAUGCGUAGAUAUCAAGAGGAACACCUGCGGCGAAGGCGGGUUGCUGGGCCGACACUGACGCUGAGGCGCGAAAGCCAGGGGAGCAAACGGG
rnacentral:rRNA from 1 species